rnacentral:rRNA from 1 species
CCUACGGGGUGCAGCAGUGAGGAAUAUUGGUCAAUGGGCGGAAGCCUGAACCAGCCAAGUAGCGUGCAGGAUGACGGCCCUACGGGUUGUAAACUGCUUUUAUACGGGAAUAACGCGCCUUACGUGUAGGGCUUUGCAUGUACCGUACGAAUAAGGACCGGCUAAUUCCGUGCCAGCAGCCGCGGUAAUACGGAAGGUCCGGGCGUUAUCCGGAUUUAUUGGGUUUAAAGGGAGCGUAGGCGGUCGGACAAGCGUGCUGUGAAAUGCCCGGGCUCAACCCGGGCAUUGCAGCGGGUACUGGCGUGCUUGAGUGCACUGGAGGCAGGCGGAAUGCGUGGUGUAGCGGUGAAAUGCUUAGAUAUGACACAGAACCCCGAUUGCGAAGGCAGCUUGCU